GACCAAUGAAAAGUAAGUUGAAAUGAACUAUUAGCAUUUCAGAAUGUACAAAAUACAGAUAGCCGAGUUGUCGCCUUCCACAAGGUUUGUUUACACAAGUAUUCCAUUUCCAGAGCCCCCUAUUGUAAUAAUACUACUAUGAAACAUGAGAACGGGCCACAGGGAAUUAAGGUCCAUAAGGAGAUUAACGCUGCACGUAGCAUAUUGAAAGCAGGAUUUGCUGGUCGUUAUAUAUGCACACGACAUCGAAUGCAAAAAAGAAGAAGAAGAAGAAGAAGAAUGUGCAUAUAUAACGAACAGAAGAUUUUGAAUGUUCUAGCACUUGAAGCCCCCGCAAACAAUUAGCCACAGGAUGAUAAUCAACGUUGCAAGGGCACCA
rnacentral:lncRNA from 1 species